UACGUAGGGUGCGAGCGUUUGUCCGGAAUUAUUGGGCGUAAAGAGCUCGUAGGCGGUGUGUCACGUCGGCCGUGAAAACCUGGGGGCUUAACUCUGGGCGUGCGGUCGAUACGGGCAUCACUAGAGUUCGGCAGGGGAGACUGGAAUUCCUGGUGUAGCGGUGAAAUGCGCAGAUAUCAGGAGGAACACCGGUGGCGAAGGCGGGUCUCUGGGCCGAUACUGACGCUGGAGGAAGCGAAAAGCGUGGGGGAGCAAACAGG
rnacentral:rRNA from 1 species